AGAAAGUGUUGCGACCAAAGAGGGCGGGUAGUGUUUUCCAACUCCGAUGUAUUAUUUAUUUAUGUAGUUCAUAGUGGGGGAACCUCACUCCCCUGAUACGCGAAAAGGGGGAUUCGAAGAUCUAGUGAAAAGAAGGUAGAUCAAGACACACAUGCAAGAAAUAGCGAGCUAGAACAGCACAGACUGAUAGUAGACACACAAACAACGAAAUAUAAAGAUAAAUAAAGUAACUAGACACGCAAAACGAAAGAGGGGCGAGGUUAAGGACUGAG
rnacentral:lncRNA from 1 species